rnacentral:tRNA from 1 species
UGGCGCAGCGGCAGCGUGUUUGCCUCGUAACUAAGAGGUCGCUGGUUCGAAUCCGGC